rnacentral:rRNA from 1 species
UACGGAGGGAGCUAGCGUUGUUCGGAAUUACUGGGCGUAAAGCGCGCGUAGGCGGCUUUGUAAGUUAGAGGUGAAAGCCCGGGGGCUCAACCCCGGAACUGCCUUUAAGACUGCAUCGCUUGAAUCCAGGAGAGGUGAGUGGAAUUCCGAGUGUAGAGGUGAAAUUCGUAGAUAUUGGAAGAAACACCAGUGGCGAAGGCGGCUCACUGGACUGGUAUUGACGCUGAUGUGCGAAAAGCGUGGG